AGAAGUGAUUCAGAGCAGCACUGUUGAGAAGGACUUGGGGGUUUGGUCGAUGAGAAAAUGAACAUGAGCUGGCUUCAGUGUGCCAUCUCAUAGCCCAGAAAGCCAACCGUAUCCUGGGCUGCAUCAAAAGAAGUGUGACCAGCAGGUUGAAGGAGGUGAUCCUGCCCCUCUGCUUUGCUCUUGUGAGACCCCACACAAUACUCUUGUGAGUAUUGUGUGCAGUUCUGGUGUCCUCAACACAAGAAGGGCAUGGAGCUGUUGGAGCAAGUCCAGAGGAGGGCCACAAGGAUGAUCAGGGGGCUGGAGCACCUCCCAUAUGAAGACAGGCUGAGAAAGUUGGGUCUGUUCAGCCUGGAGAAGAGAAGGCUGCAUGGAGACCUCAGAGCAGCCUUCCAGUAUCUGAAGAGGGCUACAAGGAUGCUGGAGAGGGACUCCUCAUCAGAGACUGUAGUGAUAGGACAAGGGGUAACAGGUUCAAACUUAAACAGGGGAAGUUCAAGUUGGAUAUAAGGAAGAAGUUCUUUACUGUGGGAGUGGUGAGGCACUGGAACAGGUUGCCCAAAGAAGUGGUAAAUGCUCCAUCCCUGACAGUGCUCAAGGCCAGGUUAGACAGAGCCUUGAGUGACAUGGUCUGGGGUGAGGCAGGGGGGUUUUGAGAUGAAGAACUCUUGACAAGAUUAAGGAUAGCCCAUUGUAAAUAGAAUGUAACUAAGAGACUUGGACCCCAGGUGGACUUUGUAACAGUGAUAAGGAAGAAGGCUUUUCAGUUAUUUUUUAAGGAGACCAGUUAGAACCAACUAAGGAGCUGGCAAACAGACAACGAGACCGUCCAGCUCCAAAGUUCACCCAAAGGAUGAAGCGAUGAAGAAGAUGAUGAAGAAACAGCCACCAGGGGUCCCAAAGAGCACUACCACAUUACUCUGUGCAUGCAGGAAGAAUUUUCUAGAAGUAUGACAUAAUGUACCUGUAGCUUUAUGAAUAUGCAUAUAAUGUAAUUAAUAUGUUUAGUGACAAUAUAAUCACUGCCUGUUUGGUGCUUGAGUGAGACACGCUAGGAGGAGCUAUCCCCCGUAUCUCCCAGUGCCGCAAUAAAGAAUACCUGCUUGUCAA